rnacentral:rRNA from 1 species
GAUGAACGCUGGCGGCGUGCCUAACACAUGCCAGUCGAGCGAACAGACGAGGAGCUUGCUCCUCUGACGUUAGCGGCGGACGGGUGAGUCACACGUGGAUAACCCACCUAUAAGACUGGGAUAACUUCGAGAAACCGUAGCUAAUGCCGGAUAAUAUAUUUAACCGCAUGGUUCAAUAGUUAAAUACGGUUUGGCUGACCCUUAUAGCUGGAUCCGCGUCGGAUUGGCUAGUUGGUACGGUAACGGCUUACCAAAGCAAGCAUGCGCAGCCGACCUGAGAGCGUGAAGGGCGACAGUGGGAGUGAGAGACGACCCUGGGGCCUACAGGAGGCAGAGGUAGGGAAGCGUCGGAGAUGGGCGGAAGCCUGAAGGAGCAACGCAGGGUGAGUGAUGAAGGUCUUCGGAUCGUAUAACGGUGUUAGUAGGGAAGAACACAUGUGUAAGUAACGAUGCACGUCUUGACGGUACCUAGUCAGAAAGCCACGGCUAACUACGUG